GACGAACGCUGGUGGCGUGCCUAAUACAUGCAAGUCGAACGCUUUGCUUAUCACCGUAGCUUGCUACACUGAUAAGCAUUGAGUGGCGAACGGGUGAGUAACACGUGGGUAACCUGCCCAAAAGAGGGGGAUAACACUUGGAAACAGGUGCUAAUACCGCAUAACCAUAACAACCACAUGGUUGUUAUGUAAAAGAUGGUUUUGCUAUCACUUUUGGAUGGACCCGCGGCGUAUUAGCUAGUUGGUAAGGUAAAGGCUUACCAAGGCGAUGAUACGUAGCCGAACUGAGCGGUUGAUCAGCCACAUUGGGACUGAGACACGGCCCCAACUCCUACGGGAGGCAGCAGUAGGGAAUCUUCCACAAUGGACGAAAGUCUGAUGGAGCAACGCCGCGUGAGUGAAGAAGGUCUUCGGAUCGUAAAACUCUGUUGUUAGAGAAGAACGUGCAUGAUAGUAACUGAUCAUGUAAUGACGGUAUCUAACCAGAAAGCCACGGCUAACUACGUGCCAGCCGCCGCAGUAAGAC
rnacentral:rRNA from 1 species